rnacentral:rRNA from 1 species
AGAUUGAACGCUGGCGGCAUGCUUUACACAUGCAAGUCGAACGGCAGCGCGGGGCAACCUGGCGGCGAGUGGCGAACGGGUGAGUAAUAUAUCGGAACGUACCCAAGAGUGGGGGAUAACGUAGCGAAAGUUACGCUAAUACCGCAUACGAUCUAAGGAUGAAAGCAGGGGACCGCAAGGCCUUGUGCUCCUGGAGCGGCCGAUAUCUGAUUAGCUAGUUGGUAGGGUAAAGGCCUACCAAGGCUACGAUCAGUAGCUGGUCUGAGAGGACGACCAGCCACACUGGAACUGAGACACGGUCCAGACUCCUACGGGAGGCAGCAGUGGGGAAUUUUGGACAAUGGGCGCAAGCCUGAUCCAGCAAUGCCGCGUGAGUGAAGAAGGCCUUCGGUUGUAAAGCUCUUUGUCAGGAAGAAACGGUGAGGUUAAUACCUUCACUAAUGACGGUACCUGCAGAAGAAGCCCGGCCAACUACGUGCCAGCAGCCG